AUUGAACGCUGGCGGCAGGCCUAACACAUGCAAGUCGAGCGGAUGAAGGGAGCUUGCUCCUGGAUUCAGCGGCGGACGGGUGAGUAAUGCCUAGGAAUCUGCUUGGUAGUGGGGGGUAACGUCCGGAAAAGGGCGCUAAUACCGCCUACGUCGUGCGGGAGCUAGUGGGGGGUGUUCGGACAUCACGCUCUCAGAUGAGCCUAGGUCGGACUAGCUAGUUGGUGGGGUAAAGGCCUACCAAGCAGAGGAUCCGUAACUGGUCUGAGAGGAGGAGUAGUCACACGGGAACGUGAGCACGGUCCUGGGGCCUACGGGAGGCAGCAGUGUGGAAUAUUGGACAAUGGGCGAAAACCUUAUCCAGCCGGGCCACGUGUGUUAAGAAGGUCUUCGGAGUGUAAAGCACGUUAAGUUGUGAGAAAGGGCAGUAAGUUAAUACCAUGCUGUUUUGACGUUACCAACAGAAUAAGCACCGGCUAACUACGUG
rnacentral:rRNA from 1 species